AGUCGAGUAGUAUAAAGGUUCAACACGCUUCGCUCACAUCUUGUUCCGAAGAAAUCCGGGUUCGAUUCCCGGCUUGACUA
rnacentral:tRNA from 1 species